UGAGACAGCAUCUCAAACAAAUGCCACUCACCAAAAAGGAGCGUUCAUAAAUAGGUUUUAUGCUAUCAGUUAUGAGAAAGGUGUUACACCAUUUAACAGGCUGUAAUUUGUCUUUAGUGCACAAGUACAAAGCCCUCAGAGACGACAAAAGGAUGGUAUAAGGAAAGGAACUAGAAUGAGACAGAAAAAAGCAGAAGAAAAAUGGG
rnacentral:lncRNA from 1 species